rnacentral:ncRNA from 1 species
GCAAGCGCCUCCUGAAGAAUCGGGCACCCCGCGAGGAAACUCUGGGAGUGAAUGUGGUCAAAUUUGGUGAAACCUAAAGAGUUCGUGGGUUCCUAGGACUCUAAGGCAAUACCAAGCCAAGCCUGAGUUCAGCGCGAUUAAACAAUCGCCUAUAUUGAAAUCAGGAAGGUUUAGAGACUAGACGGUCACCACCUAAAAGCUGCAAGCCUAUGGUGAAGGUAUAGUCCAGAGAGUGGGGAAACUCACAC